CAGUCGCCACGGGAAUACGUAGGGUGCAAGCGUUAAUCGGAAUUACUGGGCGUAAAGCGUGCGCAGGCGGUUAUAUAAGACAGAUGUGAAAUCCCCGGGCUCAACCUGGGAACUGCAUUUGUGACUGUAUAGCUAGAGUACGGCAGAGGGGGAUGGAAUUCCGCGUGUAGCAGUGAAAUGCGUAGAUAUGCGGAGGAACACCGAUGGCGAAGGCAAUCCCCUGGGCCUGUACUGACGCUCAUGCACGAAAGCGUGGGGAGCAAACAGGAUUAGUUACCCGCGUAGUCCCUGUCUCUUAUAA
rnacentral:rRNA from 1 species